rnacentral:misc_RNA from 1 species
UCCCUGUUACCAGGGCAGUCUAGCUAGAAAAAUACAACUAACUACAAGGGUUGCGCUCGUUGAUGGACUUAACCAAACAUCUCACGACACGAGCUGACGACGGCCAUGCAUCACCUGUCACUUGGCUCCCGAAGGCACCAUAUUCUUUCGAAUGCGUUCCAAGGAUGUCAAGCCUGGGUAAGGUUCUUCGCUUACCAUCGAAUUAAACAACACGCUCCACCGCUUGUGCGGGUCCCCGUCAAUUCCUUUAUGUUUUAGUCUUGCGACCGUACUCCACAGGCGGGAUGCUUAACGCGUUAGCUUCGCUACUAGAAGGGUCGAUACUUCUAACAGCUAGCAUCCAUAGUUUACGGCGUGGACUAC